rnacentral:rRNA from 1 species
UGGGGAAUAUUGCACAAUGGAGGGAACUCUGAUGCAGCAACGCCGCGUGCGGGAUGACGGCCUUUGGGUUGUAAACCGCUUUCAGCCAUGACGAAGCUUUUGUGACGGUAGUGGUAGAAGAAGCACCGGCUAACUACGUGCCAGCAGCCGCGGUGAUACGUAGGGUGCGAGCGUUGUCCGGAAUUAUUGGGCGUAAAGAGCUUGUAGGCGGUUUGUCGCGUCGAUAGUGUAAACACGCAGCUUAACUGUGUGCCUGCUGUCGAUACGGGCUGACUAGAGGAGGGUAGGGGAGAAUGGAAUUCCCGGUGGAGCGGUGGAAUGCGCCGAUAUCGGGAGGAACACCAGUGGCGAAGGCGGUUCUCUGGACCUUUCCUGACGCUGAGAAGCGAAAGCGUGGGUAGCAAACAGG